GGAGUAUUUCAGAUGACCGCUCUUUUUUUUAAAAAAGGGAGGAAAGUCCGGGCUCCGCAGGGCAGGACGCUGGGCAAUCCCCAGUUGGUGCGAACCAAAGGAAAGCGCCACAGAAAUAUACCGCCCCUUCAGGGGCAAGGGUGAAAAGGUGGGGUAAGAGCCCACCGGGUGAAAAGUAAUUUUCACGCCAGGCAAGCCCCGUCCGGAGCAAGACCGAAUAGGGGGGGAAGACGCUGCCCGCCGACCCCCGGGUACGGUCGCGAAAAGGCCGCCGCGAGGCUGCCUUCAGAUAAAUGGUCAUCCGAGACAGAACCCGGCUUAUGAAAUGCUCCCCCU
rnacentral:RNase_P_RNA from 1 species